CGUGUAGGCGGCCAGGCAGGUCCGUUGUGAAAACUGGAGGCUCAACCUCCAGACGUCGAUGGAAACCGCUUGGCUAGAGUCCGGAAGAGGAGAGUGGAAUUCCUGGUGUAGCGGUGAAAUGCGCAGAUAUCAGGAAGAACACCGAUGGCGAAGGCAGCUCUCUGGGACGGUACUGACGCUGAGCGACGAAGCGUGGGAGCGAACA
rnacentral:rRNA from 1 species